UUUCCGCGAGUCCAACCAACCAACCAUACCAAGUGAUAUUUAUAUUUUGCACUUAUAAAAAGACAACCCCCACGAGCAUCAUAGCAUCACCAACCUCAGUUUCAGCCACACACACUUUCCUUAAAAUAACUCAUUAACACUUUUGUUAAUUAGUUCCAUUCUUUUCCAUGGCAAAGGGAAUCAAUUUCUUGGCAUCAUUUGUUGAGUUUGCACCUGCACCUUUGAUUCAACUCAAAAAGAUUUCACAUGCUCCACUGUUAGAAACUAUUGCGGAAGAAAAAGAGUCUGAAGAUCAAUAAGCUAACUACCAGUUAUGUUGCUUUGUGGUACAGAAUAUACAGUUCCCACCAUCUACUGAUCACUGUUUUUGUUGUCAAUUUUGUGGGAUAAAUUUUUGUUUGUUGAUUUAUCUAUUUGUAUAUUAAUUAAUAUUAGUUGUGUAAUUUAAUUUUGGUUAUUUUGUUGAAAUUGUAAGUUAGUCGAAGAAUCAACUAAUAAUUCUCAACUAAUUAAUGUUUCUCGUUUACUUUUAAUGAUUACAUUAAAAAAUGAACUCUCUCAUUUGAUUGUCACAUCUUUAACAUCUCUGACGAGUGUUAAAUACCAAGUUAAAUUUUUUGUUGGUUACCAAAUUAAUGAAAACAUAAAGCACACAUAAGGAUAAAUGAUAAAUUGUAAGAAAAAAAAAAUGAUAAAUUUGAUUGAUUAUUUCUGAUUCUUAAAUGUACAAAUAAGUGUACACAACACCCCGUAUUUGGUUGAUCUAGCAGAUAGUGUGUAUUUUUGUCUGUUACGAAGUGUACGUAACAACCUACAUAUGGUCUUGAUCUCCCUUCAUUUCAUGGCAUGACAAUGCCCCUCAUCCACAUAUGCAUUUCCACUCAUAUUCAACCUCCGUGAAAAUAACAGUUUCAGUUAGUUGUGGCUAAAAAUAUGGAACACAAGUCUUAUAGUUGAAUCAUCAAUUCUCAUGUGCUUUUGACAACAUCUAAAAAUCUCAGGACCCUCUUAGGGAUUCUUGGACUCGAGAAAAAUUAUCCUAACUCGUAUUCGACUACCCCUAGUUUGCAUGACCUUCAUUCAGUUACUUGAGCAUCGACUAAACCCCAUGUGACUAUUGAUUGUUCUCGAUUAACAACUUAUAUUAUUUUUUAGCGUAAAAAAUGCCUCUACAUUGUAUCUUCUAUUUGAAUUGAUGUGAGAGGUGAUUCAAAUAAUAAUUAUUGAAUGAAUAGUGUCAUUAUUGCGAAGUACAAUAGCCGUUGUACACUCUUCUUGGUUUAAGAAUAGAUGAAAACAAGUAUGAUUUUAUCUUUUGCAGAUCUUGUCUUGAAAGAUAAGAUAGUUGUUUACGACUUAGUUAAUCAUCGCAUAGGAUGGACUAAUUAUAAUUGUUCUAUGCCCGUAAACGUCUCUGUGAUCUUGAACAAGGAUAAGUACAACAAUCCAAGAGCAAGACGGUCAAGUGCCAGCAACUCAUAGAUAGGGAUUUUCUCCAUGUUGUUACAAGUAACCAUUGUGGCACUUUUAAUGCACAUAGUAUAAUCUGUAUAGUCACCACAUUUGUAACUGUAAUUGUAAACAUGAGUACUCUGAAGCAGUUUUUGAUUAUUAUGCAAGCAUAUCAAAUUAUAGUGGAAUCUAUAGUAUGAUGUAUAUAUGCUAGUCUUGUGAUUGAACACUGAUGAGAAUGAAGACAACUAAAAACUAAUAAAAAACCUCAUUCCAAUACACAGGAUCUUAAUGAUAUCACUGCCUACUUUAAUU